rnacentral:rRNA from 1 species
UGUAUUUAUUAGAUACAAAACCAAUGCCCUUUCGGGGCUUUUUUGGUGAUUCAUGAUAACUUUACGGAUCGCAUAGCCUUGCGCUGGCGACGGUUCAUUCAAAUUUCUGCCCUAUCAACUUUUCGAUGGUAAGGUAUUGGCUUACCAUGGUUUCAACGGGUAACGGGGAAUUAGGGUUCGAUUCCGGAGAGGGAGCCUGAGAAACGGCUACCACAUCCAAGGAAGGCAGCAGGCGCGCAAAUUACCCAAUCCCGACACGGGGAGGUAGUGACAAUAAAUACUGAUACAGGGCUCUUUUGGGUCUUGUAAUUGGAAUGAGUACAAUUUAAACCUCUUAACGAGGAACAAUUGGAGGGCAAGUCUGGUGCCAGCAGCCGCGGUAAUUCCAGCUCCAAUAGCGUAUAUUAAAGUUGUUGCAGUUAAAAAGCUCGUAGUUGAAACUUGGGCCUGGCUGGCGGGUCCGCCUCACCGCGUGCACUCGUCCGGCCGGGCCUUCCUUCUGAAGAACCUCAUGCCCUUCACUGGGCGUGCUGGGGAACCAGG